rnacentral:misc_RNA from 1 species
GCGGAAGGAUCAUUAAAGAGUAAGGGUGCUCAGCGCCCGACCUCCAACCCUUUGUUGUUAAAACUACCUUGUUGCUUUGGCGGGACCGCUCGGUUCCGAGCCGCUGGGGAUUCGUCCCAGGCGAGUGCCCGCCAGAGUUAAACCAAACUCUUGUUAUUAAACCGGUCGUCUGAGUUAAAAUUUUGAAUAAAUCAAAACUUUCAACAACGGAUCUCUUGGUUCUCGCA